AGCUGGUUUUUCAACCAAUUCCCAUGUGUGGUUCUUCUCAAUCAUUCUGAUCUCCUCCUUCAUUGCAAGUUGCCAUUCUUUCUCCUGAGCUGCUUGUUCAAAACUGCCCGGUUCAUGAACUGCAAUAAGGCAUCUUUCACAAAGUUCAGCUUCAGAACAAGUUUCAUAAAUCUCUGAUAGUGACUUUGUCUUCAAUAUUGGAGAUUCUGAUGAUGAUGAUUCACCACUCCUU
rnacentral:lncRNA from 1 species